UACGUAGGUGGCAAGCGUUGUCCGGAUUUACUGGGUGUAAAGGGCGUGCAGCCGGGCUGACAAGUCAGAUGUGAAAUCCCGCGGCUCAACCGCGGAACUGCAUUUGAAACUGUCAGUCUUGAGUACCGGAGAGGUCAUCGGAAUUCCUUGUGUAGCGGUGAAAUGCGUAGAUAUAAGGAAGAACACCAGUGGCGAAGGCGAAUGACUGGACGGCAACUGACGGUGAGGCGCGAAAGCGUGGGGAGCAAACAGG
rnacentral:rRNA from 1 species